rnacentral:tRNA from 1 species
GGGCUCGUAGCGCAGUCUGGUUAGCGCACAUGGCUCUUAACCAUGGGGUCGGGGGUUCAAAUCCCCUCGGGCUCA